UAUAUUGGGACAAGUAUGUUAGGGCAGCAGGAACCGUCAACCUGUGCACAAAUUUUUAGAAAUAGUAAUUAAAAUUUUUUUAUUGUUAUUUAUUUUUUUUAAGCUGAAAAAAAGAGAUGAUCAUUCGAGACCCACAAACAGUGACGAUAUUGCAUAAGAAUGAAUCUUUAGGAUUAUUUGAAACUUUGGUGACACAAAAACUUAAAAACACGGAUCCCACAUAAUUAUUUUAUUAAUUUUGAACAGUUAAGAAUUAUUUUAAAUCCUGCGUUGCAGGUGCUCUUAGAAGAAAGUCUAGCCACUAGACAUGAGCAUGAAAACGACUAAACUAGAACCAAAGGAACCGACCCAAACUGACCAUAAUUAGACGGUUCAGUUUGGACUUGAGUUGGCUAAAAUAAUUGAACAGAAUAUUGUUAGAAUCUGAAUUUGGCCGAUUUUUAUAUAUGAAAAUUUUGAUACUAGGUUAUUUGAAAUACCAAGAAAAAUUGACGAUUAUAAGAAAGUAUUGAAUUCAGUUGAACAAUUUUUUUUUUUAACACUGAUUUAUUAUGAUAUUACAAUUAUGAGAAAGAUUAGAUAGACGAUCCGACAACCGACAAUACUAUCUGCCUUAUAAAGAUCUACGCCUAACUGCAUCACCUAAGCCGUCCUACGAAGAUCACGCCUGACCGAGCUUACUUGCCCAUGUUGAAGAUCUAUUGUAAGCCUUUCAACCGUAGCUCAAACCAUUGGACAAAAUCUAGAUCAUCGGAAAACGAUUCUUAAACUAUGAGAGAAGCGAUAAGCCAAGUUGCUAAAAAAUAGCCCAAGAAAAUACACAUAAGUCCUUUUUCCUUGUCCAUAUCUAUUCACAUAAAAUUGUGCUUUAUUAAUCAGUCUCGCCUAACCCUGUACUUUUCUCAUUUAAGUUCCUUAACAUUUUCAACUUAGCAAUUCAUUUCUAAGUAUUUGUUUAAGCUUAGGAAGCAUCCUUUGAACUCAUCUAAUCAUGUACUUUCUUUAUUUGCUAUCGCCACCAAAUGAACAUGAAGCAUGCUUAUAAAUGCUUAGGCUUUCCUUGACAUUCCACAUUGUUUUCUUUGGAUUGGUCCGUAUGGAUUUGUCUCCAGCCAUGCACUUGGCCUGGUUCUUGACCGUGGGUUCAUGGUCGGGCAGAUUGAUAUAAUUUGUCGAUCAUAUUGUCUUUUUGCUUGGCCAAAUCCAAAAUUUUCUCAACCAAAUCCCUCUCUUCCUCAUCAAAAUCACUUGUUCACAGGUAAGUGUACUGAACUAUUCUCCCUCACAGCUCUAGUCACCCAAAUCUUCUUAUGGGCAGUAGUUUACACUUUCAAACUCGUCUAUGAUUAUUUAUGUGGACGUGAAGCUUUUGAUCUCAGAGUCUUGGAUUGCAAUAUUUAUUACUAGGCCUCUUUUUUCAUCGCCACUCCUUUGGUGUCGGCUAUUACUUGAGCUAGUUGAGUGUCCAUUACUUUCACAUGAGAUGCAAUAAUUCAUGGUUUUUUGCUUAAAUACCUUUAUAUUGCAUCCACCUUGGAGUUCAUUUCUCUCAUUCUUUUUCAAACUUCACAUUUUCUUCUCCCUGACCUAAAAAUAGUUUCUUGAUAAUUAGGUGGUUCUUAUCUUCUUUAGAGACCAAGCAGCUUUUUGAAAAAUGAUUUGCUUAAGCACAAACUAGAUGAAAAAUGCUUUUUGAUGAAUACAAAUUUAAUAUUCAUUCCAAAAUAUUAUCUAUCUAUUCAAACAAACCCACAUGCUAGUGAACCUGGAUUACUACUCACGGUAGAUUAAAUCACCAUGUUAAUUUUAAUCACAAUACAAAUCAGGUUGACUUUACUUUCAAACUUGAUAUUUAUAGGUCUAGUUUUGAUAGGUUAUUUGUAACAAAUAUAUGUCCAACACUAUAACCAAAGUAAUCACCCAAAUAGCGUAACUAUCUCCCUAAACUUAUAUCCAGACUUCGAACUGUAAAAUUGUUUGAAACAAUCAAUUGGUGCGAGUGAAUUAUAAUUUACGUAAAGAAAAAGAAGAAACUUAAAAUAUGUAUAUUACGUGGUCCAGUUCGCCCACAAAAGAAGGAUCAUGAGACAUGAGCGUGAGACCGUCUCCAAGCUGUUCGCAUCUCAUCCUCCAGCUCCCAUUUCCACACUUUUUAUUCUUUUUAUUUUAAUCCUUCAAUUAUGUAUGCUUCUUUUCUUUACCAUAAUGGAAUCUGUUUACUUCUCAUUGUUAUUUUUUUAUAAACCAAUACAUUAUCAGUGGUGACUUUUUCUUCCUACAAAUAUACCGUCAUCUUUUACCAAUUACGAAAAUGGUUACAAUUAUGUCUAUUAUUCAAUUUUUUUAUAAUCUGGGAUAUCUGUCAGAUAGAUUUCUAACCGACUAAGAGCAACUUUAUUGCGGUUUCGGGAAGGGGUUUUUAAAGAAAUAACAUGAAUUAAUUAAAUGUAAACUAAAUUAAAAUGGGUGAUACCGUUCCUUAAUCUGUGGUUUGCGAAUCGGUUUCUUAAUGAAAGAAGGAAACACGUGUAAGAUGGUGGGCAAGACAACACCAUUUUUUUUUUUCCUUUUCCUUUUUGUCUUUCUCGGUUCUUUCUUCUUUCUCUUGUUUUUUCCGUCAUCUCUCUUCGGUUCUUCGACAUCUCAGAGGACGACGAUGGUUUGUUCUUCGUCUUGUCUUCGUCGAUCGAUUGAAGAUCGGAAAUGAUGGUUUGUUCUUCGUCUUCUCUUCUUCUUCUCUUGGUCGAUUGAUGGAAGAGUCAUGCAUCAAGAAAGGAGAAGCUGAGAUUCAACGAUCACAACAAGAAUCGAGUCUUCUUCAAUAAAGGUCAGGUUCAUCUUAUUGUUUCUCUGUUCCAUUGUAUUCAAAGUUCAUAGCUUUUUAUUAGGACCAAUGAACAUAAUUGAUUAACAUCAAUUAGCUCCUUGUGGAUCAAUUCUUUUGGUUUAGUUUAGGAAUCUCCGAGAACUCUGUUUUCUAUUCGUUUGAGUCCUUGUGGAUCAAUACUUUUGGUUUAGUUUAGUUGAUUAACACAACAUUAUUUUGUUUGAUAACACUUGAGGAAGGUAUCUGAAAGAGACAGGACACAACAUGGAGUACGAGUGGAAGAGAAUGAUUCUCAACUGGAGAUUAUACAUAGCAAGGGAUAAAGUGACUACAGAUGGUGUCUUUGUUGAGGUAGAAGCAUUGAAUUGAAACAGAGGAUGGUUAACAAUCACAUCGACGAGCUUUGUUGAGGCAGAAACAUUGAAUGGUACGAGUAACUCACUCCUUUUGCUAGCUUUUUUCUUUACUGAUGGCCUGAGUUAAUUGUGAUAAUGAAUGCUGCUUACAGUUAGGUUGUGGUUAGGACAGUGUGCUUGCUUAGAGUUAAGUUUGUGGUUGAGUUAAUAGUGAUAAUGAAUGCUGCUUAGAGUUAGGUUAAUUGUGAUAACUCAUCUCUAUUAAACCCUGUAGUUACUGCUCUUGCUUUCCAUCUGCUAAACACGUUCAUUGUGACUCUUUCCAUCUUCAAACACAUUUCUUCUUCUUUUUCUCUUCUUUGACAGUCUAGGAUAUGGAUUCUACGAAUCCAUAUAGUCAAAACUCCAACUUUGUUGAUCUGUUGAACAGUCAACAAGAUGGUUUCCCUCCUCAAACCUAUUUUCGUGAGAGUUGUUCACAACUCCCUGUUUUUGGUACUCAAUGUACUGAACCUUCAAGUUUGCGUGAAGACACACCAUCAGAGAAAAAAGAAAGAAAGAAAUGAAGUCUCACCGAGGAUGUUGUGCUUAUUAGCGCAUGGUUGAACACUAGCAAGGACCCUGUUGUAGGCAAUGAGCAAAAAGCUACUGCUUUCUGGAAGCGUAUAGCUAGUUACUUUGCAGCUAGUCCAAAGGUUCAAGGCAGUGAAAAGCGAGGGUUUAUCCAGUGUAAGCAGAGGUGGCAGAAGAUAAAUGAUCUCGUUUCCAAGUUUUCUGGUUCUUAUGAGGCUGCAACAAGACAGAAGACAAGUGGAAUGAAUGAGAAUGAUGUAGUUAAACUAGCACACGAGAUCUUCUUCAAUGAUCACAAGAUCAAAUUUAAUCUUCAACAUGCGUGGGACGAGCUAAGGUAUGACCAGAAAUGGUGUGAAGCAUCUAGUAGUUAGAUUGAUGGAAGCUGUAAGAAGAGAAAGUGUGACGAUGGUGCUCAGUCCUCAAGCUCUUACGCAACUACCAAUGAUGCUGAGCAACGUCCUCCUGGUGUCAAGGCAUCGAAACGAGGAAGUGGUAAGAGAAUCGGUGAAGCCCUCAAGGGUGUCUCUGAGUUUCAAAACUUGUGGGCAAUUAAGGAGAAAGAUUUGGAAGUGAAAGAGAGACUGUCCAAGAUGGGGCUGCUUGAGACUCUCAUUGCCAAAAAAGAGACACUAUCUGACUUUGAAGAAGCUUUAAAAAAGAAGCUUAUUACAGAAAUGUUGGGCGGCUCAGAGUAGUUUCUGGUUCUGUUUCCGAAGGGUGUUGUGUUCAUCACAUAGUGGAGCAUUGCAGUGGAAAAGCAGAAGUGUUUUGUUGUUUUCUUGUGUCAGUCUUAUGUCUUUGUUGGUUUGUUGUGUCACGGAAGUAGCUAUGUCUUUCUUGGUUUGUUGUGUCACGGAAACAGCUUGGUCUUUCUUGUUUUGUUGUGUCACAAGACUGCUGUUGGGUUUGUUGUUUUCUACUCUCAUUGUCUUUAAAUGAAACGAAGUACUCUAGUUUGUAAUGAAAUGAAAAGAUUCUAGUUUCUUUGUGUCA